rnacentral:rRNA from 1 species
AGAGUUUGAUCCUGGCUCAGGAUGAACGCUAGCGGCAGGCCUAACACAUGCAAGUCGAGGGAGAAGCCUUCGGGCUGAAACCGGCGCACGGGUGCGUAACGCGUAUACAAUCUGCCUUUCACAUAGGGAUAGCCCGAAGAAAUUUGGAUUAAUACCUAAUGGUAUAUAGGAGCGGCAUCGUUUUUAUAUUAAAGCUACGGUGGUGAAAGAUGAGUAUGCGUUCUAUUAGCUAGUUGGAGAGGUAACGGCUCCCCAAGGCGACGAUAGAUAGGGGUUCUGAGAGGGAUGUCCCCCACACUGGUACUGAGAUACGGACCAGACUCCUACGGGAGGCAGCAGUGAGGAAUAUUGGACAAUGGUCGGAAGACUGAUCCAGCCAUGCCGCGUGCAGGAUGACGGCCUUAUGGGUUGUAAACUGCUUUUGUAAGGGAAGAAUAAGGAGUACGUGUACUUUGAUGACGGUACCUUACGAAUAAGCAUCGGCUAACUCCGUGCCAGCAGCCGCGGUAAUACGGAGGAUGCGAGCGUUAUCCGGAAUCAUUGGGUUUAAAGGGUCCGUAGGCGGGCUAAUAAGUCAGAGGUGAAAGCGCUCAGCUCAACUGAGCAACUGCCUUUGAAACUGUUAGUCUUGAAUGGUUGUGAAGUAGUUGGAAUGUGUAGUGUAGCGGUGAAAUGCUUAGAUAUUACACAGAACACCGAUAGCGAAGGCAUAUUACUAACAAUUAAUUGACGCUGAUGGACGAAAGCGUGGGGAGCGAACAGGAUUAGAUACCCUGGUAGUCCACGCU